CUCGGAGAUUCAAAAGAGAGCAGUAAGCGAUGGCGCACAUCAUUCGUGUCAAGGGCAGGGACCGUCUUGACCUGAGUUCUCAGUCGCCGUUCGUCAAGGACCGCACGGCGCCCUCGCUGGGAUUGCUACCAUGGCAACAAAGAAACCGAAUCAUCUUAGCUGAUACGAAAACCCAAUUUGGAACGCCCCCGGUU